ACACACUGACAAGCUGCUGGAAGCCUUUUUUCCACACUGUUGGACUCAACUUUUUACCUCCACUAGAGGGCGACAUUAUCAAGUAGGCGGUGCACUACUUCUGCACUGUGUUCAACCAUUGUGUCAAUAAUAAGUGCUGCUGUGAAGAGAACAAUUCUCACACUGAAUGUUGAACAGCAGCUGCUUUCUCCUGUUGCUUUAAACCUUGUUGUACAGAUGGAACUUUGGCUGUGGAUUAUUCUUGCUGCUCCUUUCUUUGAGUGUAAAGGACAAGACAAAGUGAACCAGCCAACAGAGGAUGUCAUUGCUACUGAAGGAGACUCAGUUACACUUGGAUGUACAUUUGAGACAAGUGACCCAAGUCCAUAUCUCUUCUGGUACAAACAGGAAGUCAACGGUUAUCCAAAGUACAUGCUGAGAUGUUUCUCUAAAACAGUCGAUCAUGCUCCAGAGUUUGAAAAGGACAGAUUUAAUGCUAAAAUUGAGAACAAGUCGGUUCCUCUGAAGAUCCAGAAGCUUCAGCUGUCUGACUCUGCUGUGUACUACUGUGCUCUGAGGCCCACAGUGACAGGAAACACCAAAACUCUGUACAAAAACCUUUGGAGCAAAGACAACAGAAUACUCCACAACAUCCACUAGAGGGAGUCAUAUGUAGUGGUGAUAAAGAGAGAAAAUAACGAACUUCAGAUAAAACCGAAUAAAGUUUUGUGUCAUACAAGACAAACUGAUGAGAAUGAGGAUUGUUGGGAUGUUAUUUAUGUGAACAACAUCUCAUCAUCACUGAGCACAACAACAAGCUCUGACAUUUAAAAGCUCAAAUUCAGCUCUGAAGGUCAGUCAUCUUUGUGAGGCCUUCUUAUAUUCACUACUGCGUCAGU